rnacentral:rRNA from 1 species
CCUACGGGUGACAGCAGUAGGGAAUUUUCGUCAAUGGGCGCAAGCCUGAACGAGCAAUGCCGCGUGAACGAGGAAGGUCUUCGGAUCGUAAAGUUCUGUUGUAGGGGAAAAAGAGCGGAGAGAGGAAAUGGUCUCCGAUUGAUAUUACCCUUCGAGGAAGUCACGGCUAACUACGUGCCAGCAGCCGCGGUAAUACGUAGGUGGCGAGGGUUAUCCGGAAUGAUUGGGCGAAAGGGGUGCGUAGGCGGCCUGCUAAGUCUGGAGUGAAAGGUACCGGCUCAACCGGUACAGGCUCUGGAAACUGGCGGGCUAGAGAGCAGGAGAGGGCGGUGGAACUCCAUGUGUAGCGGUAAAAUGCGUAGAUAUAUGGAAGAACACCAGUGGCGAAGGCGGCCGCCUGGCCUGUUACUGACGCUGAGGCACGAAAGCGUGGGGAGCAAAUAGGAUUAGAUACCCGGGUAGUC